GCUCAGAGGGCACAUGCUAACCUCCCCAGCCUUGCAUGACUUUUCAACAAGAAACCCUGAUGAGCCCACUGGACUGACUGCAUCAGAGGGAAAUUCCAUCUCUCGGAAGUCUAAUCCUAGCUACAUCUGAGAAGAACUGUGUGAAGAUAUCUUUUCAGUGACCCAAAGUGAAACAGGAACCAUUUUAGAUACAUGAUCUGGGGAGCAGAAAGCAGCAGAGAGACAAAGAAGCAAAGUGAAGGAUAGUUUUCCUCUAACAUCCACAGUCAGAAAGGGACAGC